UACGAAGGGGGCUAGCGUUGCUCGGAAUUACUGGGCGUAAAGCGCACGUAGGCGGCUUUCUAAGUCGGGGGUGAAAUCCUGGAGCUCAACUCCAGAACUGCCUUCGAUACUGGAGAGCUUGAGUCCGGGAGAGGUGAGUGGAACUGGCGAGUGUAGAGGUGAAAUUCGUAGAUAUUCGCAAGAACACCAGUGGCGAAGGCGGCUCACUGGCCCGGUACUGACGCUGAGGUGCGAAAGCGUGGGGAGCAAACAGG
rnacentral:rRNA from 1 species